rnacentral:lncRNA from 1 species
CACCUUUCUUAGACAGCUAAAUUUGUUCUCGGAAGUUAUCUUAAAUCUUAAAUACCAUAUAAUGAAAGAAAGAAAGGUUACAAUUUGAGACAGAGCUGCACCUAUAAUUUUAUUACAGCCCGUCGUUUUUCAAAAUUGAAAGUAAAUUAAGAAAUCCACCAAACUUUCGCAACCAACAGGUCCGCACACACAAGAUGUUGGAUCCCUAAGAUUCAUAUAAUUGUCUAAAAGAAUCCAACGACUACAUUUCCAGUGCAAGUAUACGAAAACGAAAACAACAGAGUAUUAACAUUGAAGCACAAUAAGCGAAUGAAAUAACAAAAGCAGUCAUCAUCUACCUUUCCUUUUAUUGGUAGGGAAGUUUUUUAUGUUCUAAUCAAACUAGAACCCAGCAGAGAUUUCAAAUAUAAUUAGAUUUCAGCAAAUAAAAUUUUCAUGAUUUAUCACUUCAAGGUGGAAACAAAAAUUCAUACCAAUUUCCAACUUUCAAUUUAAAAGACAACCAAAAUCCCCAGUUUCCAUCUAAAGUCUUCCUCACAUUUUCCUAGGCACAACAGUAAGAAUUGUUGUUGUGUAAUCAGGAGGUCACGAUUUCAAGCCGUUGAAACAGCCUCUAGCAGAAAUGCAAGAUAAGUUUGCGUACAAUAGACCCAAUGCAAGCUCUUUCCCGGACCCCGCACAUAGUGGGAGCUUAAUGCACCCGAUUAUCCUUUUCUUUGACAGGAGGGGAACGGAGACACGGUGGGGAAGAAAUGAUACAUGAAUUAAAUAAGCCCAACCCCACAAAUUAUCUAAGCAAAAACCCUUUUACAGAAAUAUCUUGAAGUCGUACAAAUACACCGUGCCUUGAAAUAUCUUGAAGUCGUAAAAACAACCUCUCGUAAAAAUACACCCCACGGAAAUAUCUUGAAGCCUAAUGUGAUUCGACCCUUCCCUGGACCCCGCACACAGCGGAGAGCUUAAUGCACCGUGCAGCCCUUUUCUUUGACAGGAGGGGAAUGGGGAGAGGGUGGGGAAAAAUGGAAUUUUUCGUUAGUCACUCAUAAAUUUAAGAAAGAAUGAUAGAGGAAUUAAAUAAGUCCAACCCCACAAAUUAUCUCAGCUAAAACCCUAUUACAAAAAUAUCUUUUAUUCAUCUCCAAUAACUUGGCCUUAAUCUCAAUCUGGUUAGAGUCAACUACAGGAAUCAUCAAUAUCCAUUACUCAUAAAUACGAAAAGUCGGAUCAAACAUGCAAUUAAAUAAACAAUAUUUAGCUGUAUGUAACAAUUUUAAUAAAUAUCAAGAAGAAGAAAACCAAAAACAAGAAUACAGAAAUGGAGAUAAUAGGUACCCGAGAAGCAAGUGAAGCGGUCCCAAAUACUUAGCAGGUUGGUGAUGAUCAAAUUUUUAUUUGCCUUUUCCUUUGUUAUA